rnacentral:tRNA from 1 species
GCAAGCAUGAUGAAAUGGUAGCCAUAUUUUUCUUAAGAAAAAAUGUCAUAAGACGUGAGAGUUCGAAUCUCUCUGCUUGUA